rnacentral:rRNA from 1 species
AUGGGAUGGUUAAGAGAUUACCUAUGGUUAAACUCUUCACAACUUAUCAAUGGAUAUAAUCCUUUUGGGAUGAAUAGUUUAUCGGUAUGGGCGUGGAUGUUCUUAUUUGGACAUCUUGUUUGGGCUAUUGGAUUUAUGUUCUUAAUUUCCUGGCAGGGGUAUUGGCAGGAAUUAAUUGAGACUUUAGCAUGGGCUCAUGAACACACACCUUUAGCUAAUUUAAUUCGCUGGAGAGAUAAGCCCGUGGCUCUUUCCAUUGUGCAAGCAAGAUUGGUUGGAUUAGCUCACUUUUCCGUGGGUUAUAUAUAUUCACUUAUGCAGCUUUCUUGA